GAUCUCCUCACGGACCGACAUCCAAGGGGUUGUCAUCGUGAGAUUGUCAUCGUCACCCAGCUUCACAAGAGGUUUGAAGAGGUUCGUUCAAAGUAUCACUCAUCUGCUCCUACGAAAAAACCGUUUCUAUUCUUAGAAGCUAAGGGUAUGGAGAGACUGCUAGAGAAACAGAAGAUAAGGGUGAUUAAGAGUGAGGUAAUUUUUGGUUAUGGAGUCAGAUGGACUUGAAAUCCUACUCAUGUUUUUUACUAAUUCUGGGACUUAGGGCCAAUGAAUCUUGAACCAAUGAAUUUUAUACAUGAUGUAUCUUAUAGAUGAUGUAUCUUUCUCAGAUACAUCAUUUGUAAAAUUAGGGGAAAAAUUAGUACCUAUUUCACAGGGUUGUUGUAGGAGCAAACUGAGGUAAUCUACUUACAGUAUUAAGGGUUGUGCUGGCAUGUAAGAAAGUUUCCAUGUCAGUCGCAAUUAUUAUUUUUAUUACUGUUUUACUACCAAUACUAUCAUUUAUUGAGCAUCUGGCGUAAAUCAGAUCUAGUAAAAAAUUCUUUGCAUAUGUUAGUUCAUGUCGCCUCAUUUAAAUGUGUAAUAAGUCAUUUUAAACAUUUUUUUUGAGUUUUGCUAUGCAAAAAAGUGGGGCAGUAGCUGGGGAGGAAUUUGGAAUCUAGAGAGAAUUUUUCUUAAAAUAUGGAGAGAAAUUUUAAGGAUGAUGUAAAAAUCUUAGAGAAGGAGAGAUGAAAAAGAUAACUGGAAAAAGGAAGAAAAAGAUAAGUGGAAAAAGAUAACUGGAGAACAAGAGAGAAUAAAAUCCAAAGCUUAUGUAAAGGGUAGAGAGAGUGACCAUUGCUAGUGAAAGGACUGUUUCAUGUUUAUAAUAUGAGGGAAAGAGAAAUGGCUGUGGGCUAGGUAUUUUGGUAGAUAUGAAAGUACAGGAGUUAUUGUCACAUGACUUCUCUUCUUCCUAUUUAAAAUGCAAGGUAGAACCCACUACUGUGAAUAUGGGUGAAGUAGGGGAUCUUUGAGGAAACAGGAGAACUCUGUGUAGAAUAGGAAGCUGAGUUUGGGGUUGUUGAUCAUGAAUAUAGAGGGAAACCAAUUUUUUCAAUUAUGUGAUGUCCUUCAGGAAAUUCAGCUGCGUGAAGGAGGCACUGAAUGAGAAGGCAGAAGGUUAAAGUUAGUCAGGGUUGGGUUGAGCACCAUUGAGGGUGAUGUAGACAAAGGAGUUAGGGGUACUAAUAAGAGCUUGAUAAUAACCAUGGCCAUGGAUCUGGAUUGGGAUCUAUGUGAUAGAAGGCUGGUGAUUAGAUCAAAAGUGGAGGGGUCAGUGGAUGGGUGAUCUCAAUGAGGCUGAAAAAUAACUGAUAAGAGGGUGUGAGAGCAAAUGAUCUAAUGGAGUGGUGGGAGUUUACAGUUGGUGAACAGGAGAUUCAAUUUAUAAUUUUAUUUUACAUAUUUUUAAAAAAUUUAUAUAAUGAUUUUUAUCUUUUAUCCAUUAUAAUUGGUUUACAGUGUUCUGCCAGUUUUCUACUAUCCAGCGUGGUGACCCAGUUACACAUAUAUGUAUACAUUGUUUUUUCUCAUAUUAUCAUGCUCCAUCAUAAGUCACUAGACAUAGUUCCUAGAGAUACUCAGCAGGGUAAGAGUCUCAAUUCCAUCCAUGUUGCUGCAAAUGGCAUUAUGUCGUUCUUUUUUAUGGCUGAGUAGUAUUCCAUUGUGAAUAUAUACCACAUCUUCCUAAUCCAAUCAUCUGUCAAUGGACGUUUGGGUUGUUUCCAUGUCUUGGCUACUGUGAAUAGUGCUGCCAUGAACAUGCAGGUGCAUGUGUCCUUUUCAAGGAAAGUUUUGUCCAGAUAUAUGCCCUAGAGUGGGGUUGCUGGGUCAUAUGGUAGUUCUAUGUAUAGUUUUCUAAGGUAUCUCCACACUGUCCUCCACAGUGGUUGUACCAGCUUACAUUCCCAUCAACAGUGCAGGAGGUUUCCCUUUUCUCCACACCCCCUCCAGCAUUUGUAAUUUGUGGACAUAUGAAUGAUGGCCAUUCUGACUGGCGUGAGGUGAUAUCUCAUGGUAGUUUUGAUUUGUAUUUCUCUACUAAUCGGGGAUAUUGAGCAUUUUUUCAUGUGCUUGUUGGCCAUCUGUAUAUCUUCCUUGGAGAAAUGUCUAUUCAGGUCUUUUGCCCAUUUUUUCCAUUGGGUUUUUGGCUUUUUUGCUGUUGAGUUGUGUAAGUUGCUUGUAUAUUCUGGAGAUUAAGCCCUUGUCCAUUGCAUCAUUUGAAACUGUUUUCUCCCAUUCUGUAAGUUGUCUUUUUGGUUUCUUUUUGGUUUCCUUUGCUGUGGCACAAGCUUGUCAGUUUGAUGAGGUCCCAUGGGUUUAUUUUUGCUCUUUUUUCUGUAGCUUUGGGAGACUGACCUGAGAAAACACUUGUAAUGUUGAUAUCAGAGAAUGUUUUGCCUCUGUUCUCUUCCAGGAGUUUGAUUGGUGUCUUGUCUUACAUUUAAGUCUUUAAGCCACUUCGAGUUUAUUUUGGUGCAUGGCGUGAGGGUCCAUCCAUGUUGCUGCAAAUGUAAGCCUCAGCUUUUAAUUCAUAAUAUAGACUGUGAUGAAGGUGAAAUAACACUUUAUCCAAACCAUGGGCAUAAGCAUUUGUAUCUACUGGAUCCCAAGGCCAAAAAUCAUAUUCUAAAGAGCUAAGUCUACAGUCUCCUGCCUGACAUAAAACAGUCUGUUCUCACCACUUACCAGCAAGUAGGUGAGAAGAAAGCUCUCUGGGCCUCAUUUUCAUCAUCUGUAAACUAAGACAACAGUGGCACUUGCCUAGUUGGGCUGUAGUGAGGACUAAGUGAAUUAACAUUUGUGCCAUAACCAGAACACAGUAUGUGCAAUGUGAGAUGUGGACUGUUUAGUGUCUAUCUUUCACUACAAAGAAUAAAUAUGAAUCAAAUGGCUUUUCAGUGAAGAGCCAUAUCUGGGCCACGAGGACCUCUGAGGAGGGUCAUCUUUGCUGGCCUGAACAUCUCACCAUGAGAAAGGAAGCUGCAGCAUGAAUAUGUACUGCAUUUGGUAAUGAGAGGAGUCCUACUCAUUUCUUCAGAAAACUUGGACAAAGACAGCAGUGCAGAUGAGGAAUGGUGGUGCUUGUGGUGGGUUUACUGUCCUUCAAGUGCUUGGGGAUAAGCCUCAAUGGAACCACUCUCUUUUCCACUUCAUUAGCUCCUGUAGUUUUGGACUAAAGAGAUAAUUGAGAGUUAAUAUCCUUCCCUCUUCUAUUUGGAGCUCUUUAACUCUUACUGCCUUUGCUCAUGUUUUUCACAUUGCCUGGAAUGCCAUUAUCUGCAUGAAAAACUGUUUAUCUUCCUUGAUGCAGCUCACAUCUCACCUUCUCUGUGAAGCCUUUCUGGUCUUCCUGGGUCAACUCUUCUGUGCAUAGGUGAUAUCUUUUUUUGUGCUUCCAUUGUUCUUUUUAAACCCUCUUACACACUUACUGUCUUUAAUUAGAAGUUCAUCUCGCCCAACAGACUCUGGUAUUCAUUGAUGGUAGGGUCGUAAUUAGUGACACCUGCCAUCAAUUAUUAUCCCUUAUUUCAAUGCCUUACAAUACUUACUAUUUUAAAGUAUUUUUCCAUCUUUGUUGAGAUGACAUGUAACAAUGCUGUAUAUGUCUAAUGUAGAUAAUGUAUACAAUGUGUUGUUUUGAUAGAAUUACAUAUUGUAACGUGACUAGCACUAUAGCAUUAGGUAACAUGUCCAUCAUGGAUUUACCUUGAGGGCAUUAUAUGAAGUGAAAUAAGUCAGACAGAGAAAGACAAAUACUGUGAUAACAGUUAUAUGUAGAAUCUGGAAAAGUUGGACCUAUAGAAAUAGGAGAAUGAACUCUGGGGCUGGGGACUUCGUGAAAUGGGGAGAUGCUGGUCAAAGAGUACAAACUUCCAGUUUGAAGAUGAGUAAGUUCUGGAAAUGCAAUGCUUACAUGAAUACAUGAAGAAAGAUUAAGGUCAUAGAAAUGGCAGCCACAGAAUCAUAGUCUUAAAGCAUUUUAUGGCCCUACGUGUAAUAAGAAAGCCUCUGUACCAGGUGACUGAUGCUCUACAAAGUCAGUGGUUGUGCUUGGCAUCUUGUGCUUCAAUUGAUCAAGAUUAUUAUCAUCAUAGAGGCAACCCAGAACAUCUUUUGGUUUAACACCCAGCUGAGUUCACUCAUCGGGGUUAAUAGCAGACAUUUGAGUUUGUGGUUCAGGAUCUAAGCCAAUCCUCUGUUUUUAUAAUUAACACAUUAAAGACUCAGUGAUUAAAUUCUGACAACAGUUUAAAUUUCAAUUGAAGGGCAAUUCCAUAAAGACAGAAGUGACUGGUCAUUUUAACACAGCUCUUAGCUUGCUGUGAUCCCAAAGACUGUUUUCCCCAUGGAGUUGGAGGUUAGCAUCAUGAAGACUGACUUGUACUAACCACAUUCAUGGAAGAUUGGUGUAUAAAUCAGAAAGUCCGUUUGUUAAUGGAUAAGAAAUACAACUGCCACAUUGUAGAAACUAUGAGUAUGAGCCGGUCAGAAUGUUUUUUUUUUUUUUUCCAUACAAAAAAUGGUUUAGAUUGGAAAUAAAACUAUUCAGAAGACCGAUGACAGAAAAAGUAAGAGAACUAAGGGUAGAAUUUGGCUACUCUAGUGGUACCAUUCUUUGUUGUAUAUGAGUUAUUAAGUUUUUCAUUUAUUUUACCCAUUCAUUCUUCAAAUGUUUGUUGAAUGUUUGUAUUCAAACUGGGAUUCAAAGAUAGGAAGUUCCCAUCGUGGCUCAGUGGAAACAAAUCUGACUAGUAUCCAUGAGGAUGUAGGUUCGAUCCCUGGCCUCUCUCAGUGGGUUAAGGAUCCGGUGCUGCCUUGAGCUGUGGUGUAGGUCACAGACGCAGCUUUGAUCCCACAUUGCUGUGGCUGUGGUGUAGGCCAGCAGCUGUGGCUCUGAUUGAACCCCUAGCCUGGGAACCUCCAUAUGCUGCUGGUGUGGCUCUGAAAAGACCAAAAAAAAUUAAUAAUUCCUCUUUUCUUCAGGAACACAAUCUAACAAAGAAAAGUAAAGCAUUUAAAAAUGACAGAUUGACAUGGGUUAAGUUUUAUAGUUUAAGGAUAUACAAUGAAGAGUGGAUGCUUAAAGUGAAAACUUCUGCAAUGGUCAUGGGAAUCUUCAUGAAAAUACCACAUUCAAUCCAGGUUUUGAGGAAUGAUUAGUUUGGUAGUUAGAGAAGUGUGUGUGUGUGUGUGUGUGUUUGUUUGUUGUAAUAUGUGUGAGCCUCACAGGUAUGCUUCAGAAUGGGAAAUGGCAAUAUUUUGAUACAGUUGGAACAUAGGGAUUAAGAAUGGGGGUAGGGAAGUAGGACAGGACAAGGAAGGAGUCAGCGGCCAGAACCUGCAAGACUACGUACCCUGCUUAAGGUUUGCAUGUGAUCAGAGGUGAGAGGUUUUACACAGGUGAGUAUCAUGUUCACAUUUGCUCUUUGGAGCCACAUCUUUGAAAUCAGUGUGGAGUGUGGAUUGGAAGAGGGAAAGACAAGAAGCAGAGAGACCAAUUAGGAAACUGUCAAGUAUAAGAGCUUAUAGAGACCCUUAGUCAAGACAGUGUCAGCAGUCUAAAAAUGAGAGCAUAGCUAAGAGUGGGUGGAAUAGAUCUGAAUAGAGCUGCCUUUCUGGCCACUGGAAGAUUUUCCAAAAUGCUGGUCACUAUCAGUCCUGUGGUGCCAUGCCCAGAGGAUUGAUGGGUCAGAGAAAUUGUCAGGAGGCACAGAUGGGUUGGGAAUGAGAAAUCCUGUCUGCCUUAGGAUGAGGGAACCCUAGAAUCAAGAAAUACUGAUAAAGGUUGCAAGCUUGAGUAAGGGCUGUGAGAAGGAGGUCUACUUACUCGUUCAGAAAGUUGAUCCCAACCCACCCAAAACUUCCACAGUAGAGUGAAAAGAACAACAACUUUGGAGUCAGACAGACAGGGAUUAAAAUCUUAAUACUACCAAUGGUUUUCUAUGUAACUUUGGUUUACUAAUUCUCUUCAACCUCAGUUUUUCUCAGCUAUAGCAUCAUAGGUCUAAAAAUUUCUUCCCAGCAUUAUGCUAAGCGAAGUGAGUCAGAAAGACAAAUACUGUAUGAUCUCACUCUUAAGUUGAAUUGAAAAAGAAAAACCGGAGUUCCAGUUGUGGUGUAGUGGAAACAAAUCCGACUAGGAACCACGAGGUCGUGGGUUCAUUCCCUGACCUCGCUCAGUGGGUUAAGGAUCCAGCGUUGCGAUGAGCUGUGGUGUAGGUCGCAGACAUGGCUCCAGUCUGGCGUUGCUGUUGCUGAGGUGUAGGUCAGCAGCUGUAGCUCCAACUUGACCUCUAGUCAGGGAAGCUUCAUAUGCCAUGAAUGUGGCCCUAAAAAGCGCAAAAAAAAAAAAAAAAAAAAAAAAA
ensembl:lncRNA